GUAGGGAAUAUUGGACAAUGGGGGCAACCCUGAUCCAGCCAUGCCGCGUGAGUGAAGAAGGCCCUCGGGUUGUAGAGCUCUUUUGUCCGGAAAGAAAAGCUUCGGGUUAAUACCCCGGGGUUCUGACGGUACCGGAAGAAUAAGCACCGGCUAACUUCGUGCCAGCAGCCGCGGUAAUACGAAGGGUGCAAGCGUUACUCGGAAUUACUGGGCGUAAAGCGUGCGUAGGUGGUUGUUUAAGUCUGAUGUGAAAGCCCUGGGCUCAACCUGGGAAUGGCAUUGGAAACUGGGCAGCUAGAGUGCGGUAGAGGGUAGUGGAAUUCCCGGUGUAGCAGUGAAAUGCGUAGAGGUCGGGAGGAACAUCUGUGGCGAAGGCGACUGCCUGGACCAGCACUGACACUGAGGCACGAAAGCGUGGGGAGCAAACA
rnacentral:rRNA from 1 species